rnacentral:lncRNA from 1 species
UAAAUAAUAAUAAUAAUUUUGUGGAAUUUUAGUGGGAAAAAAAUUUUAAUUUCUUUUCGUAUGCCAUUGUGGGUCAAUAAACCAUUUAUAAAUCGAAAUGUCAAUGAUGAACAGCUGAACAAUGUCUUCGUCGUAGCUACGUUAUAGUGCAUAAAUAGGUAUUCACGGGAAUUUACCAAUGCCAAGGAUACUGGCCGAAAUAACAGUAAUAUCUGUUGCAACAUCUGGACUUUGUACAUCACGAUAUAAAGCAAUAUUUCCGUUCCUUGUAUCAAUUACGCAAAUACCGCUAUUAAUGAUUGUAUUACGAAUAGAUCAGUUGGCGAGCAAGAAAGAUCAUUUGCAUUAGGAAUGCAAUUUGUAAUAUUCAGGCUACUUGGUUACAUCUCAGUGCUAAUACUCUUCGGCAAUUUAAUCGACUACACGUGUCGAUACACUUGAUCCAAGGCUCGAUAGACAUGACAAAUCACUUAAAACUUCUCGGUAAUUGUUCGGACCCUAAGCAAGUCGACGACGUUGAAUUUAAGCUUCUCUACUGUAAAUUAAAAUUUAACGAUCGUCACGUUAAAUGAUGAUUUCACUAUAAACAAUAGAUUAAUUGACUAUUAUUAUAAUUAAUUUUUUAAUUUGAAUAUUUAUGGCUAAUUUUUCAAUCUGCUUAAAAUUAAGCUCAAUAUUUUUUUUCUCUAUUUAUUAUUAUAACUUAAAAUUAAUCACGGUAUUUAGUUGCCAAUUAUAUUCGAUGAUUAAAUACAAACACAAUCUGAAUCCAUAUCAUUAUCACGCAGCCAUUUUUUGAGCUUAUUCAUUUCUUUGAUACAAAUUAACGCCGCCGUAUCGAUAACAUUUAUAAAAUAUAAAUAUAAAUUAAUUAAAACUCAAUGUAAUUUAUUGAAGAGGUUUC